GGUGAACGCUGGCGGCGUGCUUAAGACAUGCAAGUCGAACGGCAGUCUUCGGACUGUAGUGGCGCACGGGUGAGUAACGCGUAACUGACCUACCCCAAAGUCGCGGAUAACGAUUCGAAAGAAUCGCUAAUACGUGAUGUGCUGUCAGAUUGUGUUCUGCCAGUAAAGAUUGAUUGCUUUGGGAUGGGGUUGCGUUCCAUCAGCUAGUUGGUGGGGUAAAGGCCCACCAAGGCGACGACGGAUAGCCGGCCUGAGAGGGUGGCCGGCCACAGGGGCACAGAGACCCGGGUCCCACCCCUACGGGAGGCAGCAGUUAGGAAUCUUCCACAAUGGGCGAAAGCCUGAUGGAGCGACGCCGCGUGAGGGAUGAAGGUCUUCGGACCGUAAACCUCUGAAUCAGGGACGAAAGACACUUCGGUGGGAUGACGGUACCUGAGUAAUAGCACCGGCUAACUCCGUGCCAGCAGCCGCCGUAAAAC
rnacentral:rRNA from 1 species